AAUUACUUAUUAUAUAUAUGUUUGUGCAAGUUUUGAUUGAUCUUGAGAGCUCCUCUUUGUUUAUUUCAAAAAUGAGUUUUGGCUCAAGAAAUAGAUGGUUUUGUAAGAAGAAAAUCCAUCUUUGUUCUUUUUAUAGACUUUCUUGAAAUAUUGCACCAUAUGGGUUGAGAUUGAUGUAGUAAUGAUGUUUUGAAAAGAGAUGAGGAAAUGUUGGGGUUUUUGUGAAAAACCUAGAAAUUGGGGUUUUUGGAAAUAAUAAGGGGAUUUACGGAACUAUCUUAGAUUAAAUGAAAGAAUGUGUGAGAAUUUUGUAUUGUUAUGGUAAACAUGAUUACUUCUUGAUGAAUGAGGGUUUGGAAACCAAACUUGAAAUUAUUGUUGAGUGCAUGUACACAUGUAGUUACAAAUUGGCACAUUGUUGGAAUCCAUGGGUUAUGAGAAUUGUAUAUCUUAGAAGUUGAUGUUUAAAAAUGUUCCAUAUAGUCUUGAAAGGACUAAAUUGUUGAGAAUUGUACAAAAUGAAGAAAUGUUGCCAUGUGUUGGUGGCUUCUGUUGAACUUAUGGCCAUUGGGUGAGAUGGCAUUGAGGGGAGGAAAAAUGAGAAUUUGGGUUAACAUUGUGUUGUUGUUGAGACAUUUAAGGAUGAGAAUUGUUUUGUAGCAUUGUUAAUUAUUAUAUCACAUUCUCUUUCAAUUAAUAAUUUUACACUUGAAACAAGUUUGGAAUGUUUGCAUUGAGAAAAUAAUAUCGUGAAAUGAAAUCAUGGAAAUGUUCAUGGGAUAAAUACGUUGGUAAGUCCGGAUAGGAGGUGUAGAUGAGAUUGAUAAGUUGGCCUGAGUGUUCGGGGUGAAAGACCGAAAACACGUGCGGAGGAGGUACUACUUCUCUUCCGACUAGCAACCGGUAAAGUGAGGUUUUGGUAGUGCUAGUUGAGCCUACUUGCAGACACCAACCUAGGGAUUACCUGAGUUGUAUUUACCGCCCCCAUUGGAUGAAACUGUAAAUUUCGAGAUUGUUGAGAUUUCAAAUUGUUGUUGCAUAUGAUGAUAUUUUGAAAGAGUAUAUAAACGAAAUCCUCUUUAAAAAAAAAAAAAUAGCAUUGCAUGUCUUUUGCAUCUAGUAAUGGAAAUUUGGCAUAAAUGUAUAUACUUUGUUAAGGAUUUCUCUACUGGGCUUUAUGCUCAUCCCUAUGGGAUUUUGGUGCGGGAAAAGAUGUGGUGAUCCCGCCGAGUUGAGGGCGUGGAUAUAUUUUUGUGAAGAGUAAUGACUCUAUUUUUGUUGUGAUUCAUUUUGUGAGCCAAUGGCUAUUCAUGUGUGGGUUCAUGAAAACCAUUUUGUGUAACCGGCUUGAGCCUUGGAAAUUGUAAGCCCGUGAGGGCAUUUUAUUUACUUUUGGGAAUUGAUGUUCUACAUGCUAUGAAUUCAUGUAUUUCUGUAUUAUUGAAUGUCUAAUUCGCAUGUGGAACUUUUGUACGAACCUUCUUAAUUAAUGAUGAAAAGAUUGGAGAAACUACUAUUGUUCCUGUGUGAUGUUGGUCGAUAUAUUUAAUUUAUGUUGGAUUAUUUCGGGGCGUUACAAGAGAAGACAUUGACAUUCUUCUGUUUGAUAUCUAACUUUUAUUGGUUGGCAAGAAGCUUGUGUUAAAUCAUAGAGAUGCUUAUGUUGUGACCUAGAUGAUAUUUGACAAAUUUAUUUAUAGAACUACACUUUCUUUUAAUUAAGGAGACAUCACAAUAACCAAAGGGGUGACUUUAAACAUCAAAGUCAAUCAGAUGUUAUUAUGACUUAUAAGAUUGACAAACCAAACAUCCCUAGCUUGUGACAAAUUGGAACAAAAGAGUAGGACAGUAUAUUAAGCAGUAACAGUAGUAGUUCAGAAAAUGAAAGUGAGAAAUUUAAAUAAGUGCAACCAGGCACAAACCACCAAACUAAUUUGGAAAAAAAAAAAAGAAAAAAAAAAAGAAAGAAAGAAAAGAAAAGGGUAGGUGAUGUGGUAUAGGAGGUUUAGUAACUGUUUGCUCAAUUCAAUAAAGGAAAAUGCUAUUUUACGUGGUUUUUUUUUUUUUUUUACUAAUACAAGUUUGCCUUUAAGGUCCUAUGGUUUUCUGGGAUUUGUUAGUUCCACAAUUUUUGUUUUUUAAAGUUGCUUUGUGUCUUUUAUUUAUUAGUGCCUACGUGUGGUUGUGACUCUUUAGUGGUUUUUUGACUAUUUCGAUUGGUGGGUUUGUUGAAUUUCAUGUUUCCUUGAUUUGGUUCGAGUGUUUGGAUGAAUACAAUUUUCAUAACAAAAAACCUGCUCUCUCUUCCUCUACCCCCCACCCAACUUCUUCUUCUUCUUCUUCUUCUUCUUCUUCUUCUCUCUCUCUCUCUCUCUCUCUCUCUUCCUUUGUCUCUCUCUGCUUCUGCUUCUUUUACCAGACCAAGUCAAAGUUUUUCAUCCUCUUCACUUUACUACCUUGCUGUUUUCUUUUUUCUUUUUCUUUUUUUUUUCUUUUCCUACUUCGAUAAUUGUUGUUUUGGAUACUUGGGUGUUCAUAUUAUAUUUUUUUGGUUUAAUGUUAGUAUUUUAAUGUUGGAUGCUCUGUUUUUUGGUUUUUGAAAUUCUUUAAAUAUUUGCUUAGUCCAUUUUCAAUCCUCACCUAUACUUUUACUCAAAAUUAUGCUUUUAUAUGUUUAGUUUCAUAUAUUAUGAAUAACAAUCUUUUUAAAUUAAUGGCGUUUGAAAAGGCUAAUGCCCUAAAACUGCUCAGUUGACUAUAAGUAGGACACUUGAAGAGACAAAAACUCUCUUUUUAUCAAAUGAUGGAAAAAUAAAUUAGUUUUUCCAAUUGUAAAUUUUGAUACAUGAUCACAAUUGUUUUGUUUUGCUUGAAUGUCUAUUUAUCUUAAACAGCUAACUAUUUUGUCUUCACAAAACAUUCCACUGCAUGUUUAUAUGCUCAGAAUAUAGGAAUAAUGGUAAGGAAAUUACAAGACACUAUUAAUCAAGCAUAUGAUUGCAUAAUAUUUUAAAAUCAUGUAAUAAUUUCAAAUUUUAUUAAAUAGUCAUGUGAACCUAGCAUGGUGAGAACAAAUUAUAUCCAUCCAUGCCAUCAAUAUGAACGCACAAAUUAUAUGUAUAUACAGAUAUUUCCAAAGAUGCUUAUUGUUUAAAAUGAUCGAGAAUUUAGUCCUUCAUAUGGGUUUUUUUUAGUCUGUGUAGAACGAUGGUUUGAAUUUUUGUUUAGUUGUUUCUAUUGCUCAUAUCAAGUCCAGGAUUUGGGUAAUUCAAAUAUUUAGAGAUUUGGGUUAUAAGAUUUGUUGGAGAAUUCUAGCCAACUCUGGGUUAUUGAGAUGUUCUGUUCAAGUACUUGGUUGUUUGGAGCUGUCCUUUUUGUAUGACUGUGUUGCUCUUGUAUGCUUAAUGGAGCAGAUGGCCAGGUUACAGACCCAACCCAACAGAAGGACACUAGUUGGACUUUCAUACUUUAUUCGAGGAUUAUAUUAUUUCGUUUUCAGGCUUACGUGUGCUUGGGGCUAAGUCCAUGUGUGCCAUGGCCAGUCAUACCCGGGUUUGGGGUAUGACAGCUAUAUUUCCCCAAAUUAAUAUAAGGGACCAUUAUAAACGACGUAGAAUAAGUAAGGAGGCUUCUGAAGAGGAAAUCCAAGCUGUUAGGAAUUUCCUAAUACAAAGAUAUAAAGAGCACAAGCUGAGUAUUGAUGCAAUUGAAUCAGCCGAUGAUGGUGCACUCACAAGAAGAUAUUUGGGUGUUGAUGAUGUACUAGACAGUGAGUGCCUUGGACUUUGUGCAAGGGCUUCCUGGAGCUCUCUUGGAUGUUCACUCUAGGGCCAUUCUUUGUAGCGUAGGCCGAGUGCCCUUUAUAUUUCAUAAGGGUUAAUCCCUUUGUAAUUGAUGUGAGCCUAAGUGCAUUUCUUAUAUCAUUUGAUGUUUUGUUUUGUAUGACACAUUGUAUAUUCACUUCACUUAAAUGUUGAAUAUAUGAUGUAUGUAAUGAACCAAUUUAAUGUAUUUGACGAUUUUCAUAUUUAUAUACACGAGGGAUCUUUUGAUUA